ensembl:lincRNA Gm28075 predicted gene 28075
CUACAGUUUGAAGAUGGAAACUUCAGUGGAGGGAAAGCUAUCAUAGCAGCAUGACAGAAGCAGCUGAUCAGACUUGGUCCUUAGUCAGGACACAGAGAGGUGGAACCUGCAACAAGGAGGAAGAAGCCCGCACAGGAGUUACGUUCUUCUCUUUCUCCCUCAGAAGCAAGCCUUAGCCAGCUUGUGCAGUGCCAACAUCAGAGGCAGAACUGAAGUAUGGCAGCAACAUGACCAGGAUGGGGGAGUGCUCUAGAGGAAGCCCCUGAAUUCCUGGCUUAAAAGGGAUAUGAAGUGACUCUCUAGAAAGAGAAAGUGGCUGUGGUAGAUGUCCUCACUUCGUGCUGGUAGAGAU